GUCUCACCGCAGGGAAGGAGAAGGAGCCCCUGGAGAAGCUGUACCAGGUGGGGAUGCUGCUGCUGCUGCUGGAGACAGUGAGGAUGAUAGCAAGGAUGACAAGCUCUUCCUCAACCUGGCCACCAGUGGCUGAAGAGGAAGCAUUCUGAGUGGUCCAGUCUGGAUGGGAAGUGCUUGGGAGCAGCUGUGGCGUGGAUGGACCGUGCUUUUGGAGAAGGCUGAGGACAUGGUUUGGGAGCAGCUUUUCUUCCAGCCAUGGAUGGCGUGAGCCGGGCUCUGCGGGUGCUGAGGCUGCUCUGGGCUCUGCCAGGGCUCUGCUGGGCUCAGCCCUGGGCCCAGCUGGGCUGGCUCUGCCCUCACAUUGCUCUGACAGCUUUGCAUCAGACGAGCCCAUUGCGAGCACAACACCUGAGCUUUCUGCUGUGGCAGAAGUGCCACGAGUGGGCCAAAGCUGGCGAGUGGGCCGUGUUCCUGAGGCAGUGCAGGCUGGAGCUGAUGGAUGGAGAAUUGCCCUUCUGCACUUCCCAAACAGAGCAAAAAGCCGUAAGUGGGACUUGGUGUCUUUAAGAAAUCCCUGACAGUUUCAAAGGGAAUGUG